rnacentral:rRNA from 1 species
UACGUAGGGGGCUAGCGUUGUCCGGAAUCAUUGGGCGUAAAGAGCUUGUAGGCGGUUUGUCGCGUCUGCCGUGAAAAUUCGAGGCUCAACCUCGAACUUGCGGUGGGUACGGGCAGACUAGAGUGUGGUAGGGGAGACUGGAAUUCCUGGUGUAGCGGUGAAAUGCGCAGAUAUCAGGAGGAACACCGAUGGCGAAGGCAGGUCUCUGGGCCACUACUGACGCUGAGAAGCGAAAGCAUGGGGGAGCGAACAGG